AAUCGCCCUUUUCCGGUGAUCUGCCGGACCCCACUGCUAUCGGGAUAGAACUAAGACAUGCUAGUCGUGCGCUCCCUAGCCAAUUUGGGAGCGCGGCACACAGCUCAGUAACACGUGGCUAACCUGCCCUUGGGACCAGAACACCCCCGGGAAACUGGGGCUAAUUCUCGAUAGGUGAAGAACUCUGGAAUGAGUCUUCGCUUAAAAGAGGCUGGGGUUAUGCUCUCCAGUUUCGCCCAAGGAUGGGGCCGCGGCCGAUCAGGUUGUUGGUGAGGUAAUGGCUCACCAAGCCUUUUACCGGUGCGGGCCGUGGGAGCGGGAGCCCGGAGAUGGGCACUGAGACAAGGGCCCAGGCCUACGGGGCGCAGCAGUCGCGAAAACUUUGCAAUAAGCGAAAGCUUGACAGGGCUAUCCCGAGUGCCAUCCGCUGAGCAAGGCUUUUACCCAGUCUAGAACGCUGGGGGAAUAAGGAGAGGGCAAGUCUGGUGUCAGCCGCCGCGGUAAUACCAGCUCUCCGAGUGGUGUGGAUGUUUAUUGGGCCUAAAGCAUCCGUAGCUGGCUAGGUUAGUCCCCUGUUAAAUCCACCGAAUUAAUCGUUGGAUUGCGGGGGAUACUACUUGGCUAGGGGACGAGAGAGGCAGACGGUAUUUCCGGGGUAGGGGUGAAAUCCUAUAAUCCCGGGAAGACCACCAGUGGCGAAGGCUGUCUGCUAGAACGCGCCCGACGGUGAGGGAUGAAAGCUGGGGGAGCGAACCGGAUUAGAUACCCGGGUAGUCCCAGCUGUAAACGAUGCAAACUAGGUGUUUGGACGGCCACGUGCCGUUCUAGUGCCGCAGGGAAGCUGCUAAGUUUGCCGCCUGGGGAGUACGAUCGCAAGAUUGAAACUUAAAGGAAUUGGCGGGGGAGCACCACAAGGGGUGAAGCUUGCGGUUUAAUUGGAGUCAACGCCG
rnacentral:rRNA from 1 species